rnacentral:misc_RNA from 1 species
UUAAGUUCAGCGGGUAGUCCUACCUGAUUUGAGGUCAGAAUAUAAAGGUUGUAGAUUAGAGUGGAGGAUUGCGAAAGAACUUAUGACGCAUUCCACUUAGACAUUUAAGGCGAGCCAGAGUAAACGGCAGACACCCAAAGCACCGAUCCACAUGUCUAAUGAAAAACAGUGGAGGUGAGGUUUAUAUGACACUCAAACAG